rnacentral:rRNA from 1 species
UUUCCUACGGGGGGCAGCAGUCGGGAAUAUUGCGCAAUGGAGGAAACUCUGACGCAGUGACGCCGCGUGCAGGAAGAAGGUUUUCGGAUUGUAAACUGCUUUAGACAGGGAAGAAAAAAGACAGUACCUGUAGAAUAAGCUCCGGCUAACUACGUGCCAGCAGCCGCGGUAAUACGUAGGGAGCAAGCGUUAUCCGGAUUUACUGGGUGUAAAGGGGGCGCAGACGGCGAUGCAAGCCAGGAGUGAAAGCCCGGGGCCCAACCCCGGGACUGCUCUUGGAACUGCGUGGCUAGAGUGCAGGAGGG